AUUGAACGCUGGCGGCAGGCCUAACACAUGCAAGUCGAGCGAGCGGCGGACGGGGGAGUAAUGUCUGGGAAAAUGCGUGAUGGAGGGGGAUAACUACGGGAAAAGGUAGCUAAUACCGCAUACCAUCAGAUGUGCGAAGAUGGGAUUAGCUCGUAGGUGGGGUAACGGCUCACCUAGUCGACGAACCCUAGAUGGUCUGAGAGGGUGACCAGCCACACUGGAACUGAGACACGGCCCAGACUCCUACGGGAGGCAGCAGUGGGGAAUUUUGGACAAUGGGGGAAACCCUGAUCCAGCCAUCCCGCGUGUGCGAUGAAGGCCUUCGGGUUGUAAAGCACUUUUGGCAGGAAAGCGGUACCUGCAGAAUAAGCACCGGCUAACUACGUGCCAGCAGCCGCGGUAAUAC
rnacentral:rRNA from 1 species